UACGUCUGGUGCAAGCGUUUUCCGGAAUUAUUGGGCGUAAAGGGCGCGUAGGCGGUGCGGUAAGUCACCUGUGAAAUCUCCUGGCUCAACUGGGAGCUUGCAGGCGAAACUGCCGUGCUGGAGUGUGGGAGAGGUGCGUGGAAUUCCUGGUGUAGCGGUGAAAUGCGUAGAUAUCAGGAGGAACACCUGUGGCGAAAGCGGCGCACUGGACCACAACUGACGCUGAGGCGCGAAAGCUAGGGGAGCAAACAGG
rnacentral:rRNA from 1 species